GCCCCUCAACCUUGCAUUAUAAAAUCAAAAGUUUGUGCCUCUUCUUAGGCCCAUUUGGUUUGCAUGAAGACUCCCUAAGGAUGGAGAAAUGGGAGAUAGGUGCUUUCUCCCUCAGAGACAGUAUCCUUAUUUUACCUUUACAGUCCCUUUGGAAAAGCCACCAAUAUUAUUCCAAAACUCACCCCUUUUCUGAUAGAACUCUAAUGACAAUCUCCCCUCCUUUUUCUCUUGGUGCAUCAUUUGGUGCGAAUCUGUACAGUUCAUUGGGCUUAUCAAUAAUUUCAUGUUUAUUAUCCCAUCUGAUCUUCAAAACUCAUCAUUUUACUGACAUAGAAACAAAGUGACUAUCGUAAACUUGACUUAAGGGAGCUGAGACGUGAACUCAGGUUUUUGAUAUCAAAGAGCUCAUCUUUUUCAGCCUCCCAGAAUAAAUUGCUGGGCCAUUCUAAUGCAAACAAAGAAAGAAAGGUCAUAUAAGAAGAGGAAGUAGGGAGAGGCAUUUUAUAUUUCUUCAGUUGAGCACUGUGCUGCAUUCUAGAACAGAGCCACUCAAUAGAACUCUCUGUGAUGAUGGAAAUGUUCUUUACUUGAACCAUCCAAUAUGGUAGCCACAAGCCACAGCCACAUGUGUACAUGGGUACUUGAAAUUAAGAACUGACUUCUUAAUUUUAUUUCAUCUUAAUUGAAAUGUAAAUUUAAAAAACCACACAUAGUCAGUGGCUAUCAUGUUGGACAGCGCAGAUCCAGAAUGCAAAAGCCCUGCUAGCAUGGUGUGUUGAGUGCUUAGCCAUGCCAGAUGGACAAGUCAUGAGUAGGCCACAUUUGGCUGGAAACAUAAGCUGUAUCUGGUGGACUGUGUCAAAGGUCUAAAUUUCAAGGUUUCAGAUAUGGCACCACAGUCACCUGAGACCUGAAGCAAGAGCUGCUCACCUGAUUUGAAACAGUUUGGAUAACAAACCAUUGGGUACUGCUGAAAUGUAUCAGGGAAUUAGUUGUCAUAAAAACAUUCAAAAUGAACAUCCCAAAGUGCCAGCAAGCAGGAAACAGACAUGUCAGUAAGGAAGCAGGGAGUGGCAGGCAUCCUCCAAUGGAGUUAGAGAAAUCCUAAUUGCUCACACCUGCAGAAGCUGUCACUUUUGCAAGGCUCCAUGAUGGCAGAGACCCUACCGAGUGCCUAACAUGUGGCAGGCGCUCCACACACACUUUCGGAAUGAAUGAAUCCACAGAUCAACCACAGGAAAGAGGUAGUGUUAUGGUCUGCAUUUCACACACCAGGACAUAGAGAUACAGAAACAUUCAGUAGCUUGUCCAAGAUUAUAGUGGACGAACUGAGGUUCAAACUGUGUCUUGACCAGAGCUGGGCUCUCAAACAACUGCAAGAGUUGAUCAUCAGCCUUAAAGUAAAAUAUCAACCUUCAACUGUC